rnacentral:rRNA from 1 species
AGGGAAUCUUCCGCAAUGGACGAAAGUCUGACGGAGCAACGCCGCGUGAGCGAAGAAGGUCUUCGGAUCGUAAAGCUCUGUUGUUAGGGAAGAACAAGUACCGGAGUAACUGUCGGUACCUUGACGGUACCUAACCAGAAAGCCACGGCUAACUACGUGCCAGCAGCCGCGGUAAUACGUAGGUGGCAAGCGUUGUCCGGAAUCAUUGGGCGUAAAGCGCGCGCAGGCGGUCCUUUAAGUCUGAUGUGAAAUCUUGCGGCUCAACCGUAAGCGGUCAUUGGAAACUGGGGGACUUGAGUGCAGGAGAGGAAAGCGGAAUUCCAUGUGUAGCGGUGAAAUGCGUAGAGAUAUGGAGGAACACCAGUGGCGAAGGCGGCUUUCUGGCCUGUAACUGACGCUGAGGCGCGAAAGCGUGGGGAGCAAAC